rnacentral:rRNA from 1 species
CCUACGGGUGGCAGCAGUGGGGAAUAUUGCGCAAUGGGCGAAAGCCUGACGCAGCGACGCCGCGUGAGGGAUGAAGGUCUUCGGAUCGUAAACCUCUGUCAGCAGGGAAGAACGGUCACUGUGCUAAUCAGCAGUGAAUUGACGGUACCUGCAAAGGAAGCACCGGCUAACUCCGUGCCAGCAGCCGCGGUAAUACGGAGGGUGCGAGCGUUAAUCGGAAUUACUGGGCGUAAAGCGCUCGUAGGCGGUAUGUCAAGUCAAGGGUGAAAUCCCCGCGCUCAACGUGGGAACUGCCUUUGAAACUGGCAAACUGGAGUGUGUGAGAGGAUAGUGGAAUUCCAGGUGUAGGAGUGAAAUGCGUAGAUAUCAGGAGGAACAUCAGUGGCGAAGGCGACUAUCUGGCACAUAACUGACGCUGAGGAGCGAAAGCGUGGGUAGCAAACAGGAUUAGAUACCCGAGUAGUC